UACAGAGGUCCCAAGCGUUGUUCGGAUUCACUGGGCGUAAAGGGUGCGUAGGUGGUGAGGUAAGUCGGAUGUGAAAUCUCCAAGCUCAACUUGGAAAUGGCAUUGGAAACUACCUUGCUUGAGGGUUUGAGGGGGGACUGGAAUUCUCGGUGUAGCAGUGAAAUGCGCAGAUAUCAGGAGGAACACCAGUAGCGAAGGCGGUGGUCUGGGCCGGAACUGACGCUGAGGAGCGAAAGCGUGGGGAGCGAACAGG
rnacentral:rRNA from 1 species